UGAUGGUGGACCAGAUCAUAGACUCACAUUUGAGUCUGUCAAAUUGUCCUGUUCAAGCACCUUGAUCUUGAUGUAUUGGUUGCAGCUAGAACAGCACCUGGUCAUAGUUGGGCUAACCCUGCAGAACGAGUCAUGAGUUUACUAAACCUGGCUUACCAAAAUGUUGCCUUAUAUCGAAAAGAAGUGAACAGUAACCUUGAACAGAUCAUUAAAAGUGCCAAUUCAAUGUCAAGUAUCAGAAAACUAUCUAAAAGCACAGAGUCUUAAAGAAGAGUGGGUUAAGUCUUUAGAAGAUAUAGUCACUUUAUUAAAUGCAAGGACAGAAAGAGUAGCGCUCAAGGGGAAACGUUUUCAAUGUGAAAAACCAGCAUCAGAUGAAAAUGUUCAGAAAGUCGAAAAUGACAUCACAACACUGAUUCACCCAGAAAUUACAAAAGGAAAGUACACCAAAAGUGAUCUUUACAAGCUUGAUGGGUAUAAGGAGUUCAUGGACAGACAUUGUAUUGAACAUCACUAUAUUUUCCAGAUUCGAAAAUGUUCCUUGUUGAACUGCUGCACUCAGAUCAGGAAUGAAACAAGUGAACUGCCUCCACCACUGCCUGAUCCGUUGAUUGACCAUUUGAACCCUGGACAUUACAGAAAAUUCUUGGAUGUCUUUGGACAAGAUACAACAGAAUGCGACAGACCAUCCUCUAAAAUCAUCAGCACAUCACAACUAUCACAGGAGUUACAGGUACUUUUAGAAAUGGAUACAACAAAUGACAUAAGUUUCCGUUGUCAUAUUAUCGGGAAAAUGAAUUAAAACAAGACUUGUCUGCCAUUGGGAAUGUAUUAUACCAUGAAUUAAUCCCUGUGUACUUAUUUAAUAUUGAACUCAUUUCACAUCAAUAAUCCAUAUUUAUUUAUAAUACAUCUAAUAAUAAAUAGUUUGAAUUUUUUUUUCUCUAUUCAAAGGGAUGUAAAAAUAGUUUCUUGCUUGGUCAGCAUGUAAGAAAGAUUGUCCACUGCUGCGAAUGCAGAAAACCUAGGUGUAUUUAUAGUAAAAAGGGCUUAACCUCCAGAGAGGAAAGAGGAUUCCGGAGACUGUUAAAAAAAGUAUGACUAUACAUGUGGAUCCUUCAUAACACCUGAUGGUGAUCCUCUACAGGGUACACUCUUUGUAAAGCUGCAGCUCUCCUGCUCAAGUCCUAUAGAACUGUCGUACUACUCUACAACCGCAAAUGUUGAAAGGAAAGACAUUUGCUGUCAUUGUGCGUCAGAGGGAGCAGAACGAGACAAAAAUGCAACCCCGCAGUACCGCACUGUGCUCCCUAUAUGCACUCAGUGUAAAUCAUCUGGGAAGGAAAUUGUUAAGAGACUUUUUAAAAAGUGAAUCUGACAGAAUAUUAGACUUGCCAUUCAUGAAAAUUCUUUGAUAUUCUUCAAGUUUUUUUUAAGAAUAACUCUGCCAGACUUGAAAACCAUUAAACAAAAUAAAUGCUUUAAACUCUAUAUUAAUAAACAUUAAUUCUGUCUUGUUGUUAUGUGUUUAUUAAUGAAAAUAUCAUAAAUUUGUUAAUCUGAUUUUUAUGACUUGAAUUAAUGUGUUACACCACUUCAAAAAAAAAAAAACUACCUCCCUACCUACCCACCUUGAAAAAUGUGAGUCGGAGUACAUCAAACAAAAAAAUUUUUAAUGAUGGCCUCGGCUAAAAAUGGGGACUCAAUAAUAAUGUAAAACGUGUCCACCUCAAAAGAGACGUGUCUCUUUUACUGUUACAGUAUCAAAAUAUCAAUUACAUAGAUGAACCAUGUUUAAUUCAGUACUAAGUUCUGAAAUUAAGGGGCAAGGUCAUUUAAAGUUCACUGUUUGAUAAAAACUAAAUUCACAGUUUUCACCAAGUGAAAUGUGUUCAGUGUAUAACGACCAUAUUUCAUAUCGAGUAAAUGCAUGGUGGGAUUUUUGCAACCAUGGUAUCAUUUUGAAGGGUUUUAUCAAACAAGAGAUGUUUAUCAAACACAUAUGACCCCCGCCCCCCAUGGUGCAAAAUUGAAAAGGGUUAUACACACCCAUAAUUUAAUUGAUAGGAGCAUCAUCAAUUCAAAAUACUGAGCAGACAAUAUAUUCCUAUGUCAAGAUUGGUUUGACCAUGUGACCUAAAGAUCACUAGGGGUCAUCUGCUUCUUAUGCUGUACCACGUUCCGUGUCAAUCAAGCAAAUAAUUCUUAAAAUAUAGGAGACAAUACAUUAUUAUGUCAAGUUUAACCUUUGACCAUGUGGCCCUCAAAAUCAAUAGGGGUCAUCUUCUCCUAAACAUGUACCAGUGUACCAAGUUUGAUGUCCGUCAAGCAAAAGGUUCUCUAAAUAUUGAGCGGACAUUAUGUUCCAAUGUCCAGUUUGAUAUUUGACGUCAAAAUCAAUAGGGGUAAUCUUCUGAAGAUGUACCAGUGUACCAAAUUUUAUGUCUGUCAAGCAAAGGGUUCUCAAGAUAUUGAGCGGACAGUAUAUUCCAAUGUCCAGUUUGACAUCCCGUGGGGAUCCGGGUUAGAAUAGGUUCUCAGAACUCCCUUGCUUGUCGUAAGAGACAACUAAAUGGGGCGGUCCUUCGGAUGAGACUGCAAAAACCGAGGUCCCGUGUCACAGUAGGUGUGACACGAUAAAGAUCUCUCCCUGCUCAAGGCCACAAGCGCCGAGCUUAGGCCUAACUUUUGCAGCCCUUCACCGGCAGUGGUGACGUCUCCAUGAGUGAAAUAUUUUCGAGAGGGACGUUAAACAAUAUUCAAUCAAUCAAUCCAAUUUGACCUUAAAAUCUACAGGGGUCAUCUUCUGAGGAUUUAUCAGUAUACCAAAUUUGAUGUCUGUCAAGCAAAGGGUUCUCAAGAUAUUGAGAGGACAGUUUAUUAUAUAUAUUCCAAUGUCCAGUUUGACUCUUGACAAUGGACCUCAAAAUCAAUUAGGGUCACCUUCUCCUGAAGAUGUACCAGUGUACCAAGUUUAAUGUCUGUCAAGCAAAGGGUUCUCAAGAUUUUGAGCGGACAGUAUAUUCCAAUGUCCAGUUUGAUCUUCUGACCUGAAAAUUAAUACGGGUCAUCUUGUCCUGAAGAUGUACCUGUGUACAAAAUUUAGUGUCUGUCAACCAAAGGGUCCCCUAGACAUUGAGCGGUCAGUAUAUUCCUAUGUCCCGUUUGACCAUGUGACCUCAAAAUCAAAAGGGGUAAUAUUCUUCUUAGGAUGUACCAGUGUACCAAGUUUGAUGUCUGUCAAGCAAAAGAUUCUCCAGAUAUUGAGCGGACAGUGUCUUCCUACGUCCAAAGUAGAAUGACCUUUGGACCUCAAAAACAACAGGGGUCCUCUCUACUCAUAACCAACCCACAUAUGAAAUAUCAUUACGAUCAAGUGAAUGGUUCUCAAGAUAUUGAGCGGACAUGUGGUCUACCGACAGGUGCAAAGCAAUAUGCCCCUCUUCUUUGAGGGAUGGGGGUGGGGAGGGGCAU